UCAGGAGGAUAGCCCGGGGAAACUCGGAUUAAUACUCCAUAAGAUUUUGAUUGGCAUCGAUUAAAAUUGAAAGAUUUAUUGGAUAAGGAUAGGCAUGCGUCAGAUUAGUUAGUUGGUAGUGUAACGGACUACCAAGGCGAUGAUCUGUAGGGGGCCUGAGAGGGUGAACCCCCACACUGGUACUGAGACACGGACCAGACUCCUACGGGAGGCAGCAGUGAGGAAUAUUGGACAAUGGAGGGAACUCUGAUCCAGCCAUCCCGCGUGCAGGAAGACGGCCCUAUGGGUUGUAAACUGCUUUUGUAUGGGGAUAAAUCUACUUACGUGUAGGUAGUUGAAGGUACCAUACGAAUAAGCAUCGGCUAACUCCGUGCCAGCAGCCGCGGUAAUACGGAGGAUGCAAGCGUUAUCCGGAUUCAUUGGGUUUAAAGGGUCCGUAGGCGGGCUGAUAAGUCAGUGGUGAAAUUUUGUCGCUCAACGAUAAAACUGCCAUUGAUACUGUUAGUCUUGAGUGAUAUUGAAGUAGCUGGAAUGUGUAGUGUAGCGGUGAAAUGCAUAGAUAUUACACAGAACACCGAUUGCGAAGGCAGGUUACUAAGUAUUAACUGACGCUGAAGGACGAAAGCGUGGGGAGCGAACAGGAUUAGAUACCCUGGUAGUCCACGCAGUAAACGAUGCUAACUCGUUUUCGGGGAGAGAUCUUCGA
rnacentral:rRNA from 1 species